rnacentral:lncRNA from 1 species
CGAUCCUGUUCCCACAGCUCUCAGGGCAAGGUCCCCCAGCCCGGCCUCUGUGUCUCUCCUGAGCCCUGUCGCCCCUGCCACACCUGACCCACUGUGUCUGGCCACCUUGGGGCCCUUCCCAUCCUGGAGGUGGGGGCCCUGCUCCCUUUUCCUCUGGAAGGAGGCUGAUAGUUCCCUGGGCCUGGAAGGUACUCGCCUCCCCCACCUGCUCAGCUGCAGCCCCGACUCCCUUUUCUGGGAUACCAGAACGGCUCCCCAACACUGGGUCUAAACCACCUGGGUCCACACCACCCUAGAGGGGAGCCCUUGGCUGUGGUCUGCCCCACUUGGGUUCUCCACACCUAAGCCAGUGGAAAUUUGGGAGCAGGUCAUGAGGGAAGAUAAAUUGAAGCCGAGCCAAGCUGAAUUGGAGGCAUCUGAGACAAGAACGUGCGGACGCCCAGUGGACGAUCCAGGCAGGCUGGGGUGUUGGGGACGGAGCCGUGGAUACACCCAUACUCAACAGGCAGAGGGGACCUUGGAGGAAUCUCAUAUUUAAAACUGUCUUGGCAAGAGCUUGUGGUGACCCUCACUCGGUCUUUGAGGAGGCCCUCAUGCACUCAGCGCACGUCUGGGAGCACCAAAAACCAGAGGGCUGGAUGGGGAAGAGGAAGAGGGUUCUCCCCGUGUGCCUGUGCGCGUGCGCAUGGAUGUCCACGCUCACAUACUUCCAUGUCUAUCCAUACCCCGGCCCACGGAAUAGAUAUUCGACGGGGGACCGGGGUGUCAACAGAUGUAUCCGAGUUCAUGCGUGGCAGGGAGCUGGCGGCGGGACCCGUCCCUCCAGCUGGCUCUCCAACCCCAAGCCUGCAUUACGACCACGGCAAAAUGCCAGAAGCCCAGAGAAGCGGGGUUUCUGAAGCGGAUCGUUUGUUCAGCCCGAGUGCGUGGGGCAGGAACACACCUGGAGGUCAUUAAAGAGAAGUCUUCACGGGGCACUCAAGGCACACUGCAAAACAACUUUUUAUUUAAAAGGCCAAUAAUGAGAAUAAUGAGUUGCACAAGAAUGAAAACCUUAUCCCUUCCAAAAGAUCGGCCUAUACAUUAUGUAUAAAGUUAGAAUAAUUCUAAAUACAAAAUGCCAAA